AGGGAAUCUAAAUAAAGCAUCUAAAAAUUCCCAACUAGCUAAAUUUUCAAUUUUUGUUUGAACCAACCCAUUUUCUUCCACAAUCUCUUGCCAAACUUGUUGCUUCUCAAUCAUAGCUUUUGAAUACCAAAAAUUUUCCACAAACAUUUCUUGAGGAACUAUAACCCCUAGUUUUUUCCCAACAAUUGGCCAAAUUUCCUUCCAAGUAAAACUUGGGCCAUUAAUUGAAUUAAAAGCUUGUCCAUUAUUAGAAACUAUAGCACUUUUUGUAGUUGACCAAAUAUGUUGAUCAGCUACAAGCCUAGCAUCAGAUCCAUCGAUGUAAGGCUCCUCCCAACACUUUUUUGUUCCACCAAACACAAAAGGGAUCUUCAAAUGUUUACAAAUAGACCCAUAAACACACAAACUACCCAUAAAAUUAUAAAAUGAUCUAAUUGAAUUUCCUAAUAUUAAACCAGGCCUAUGCACUGACCAAUGAAUCUUACCAUUUAAUUUCUCCAUAAGCAAAUCCUCCAAUGCAUAGUAGAAAUUUGAGCCUCUACUCACUCUUGGAAAUUCUUCAUUGUAAUAAUACAAUUUCUUUUGUUCAUCAAAAGGAGCUUGAAGUGAUAUAUAGUGCUUUGUACCUGUUUGAAGUGAAACAUGUUUUAGAUUCUUUGCAUUUGUGAGCAAAGAAUCCAAAGCAUUUGACAUCAUGGCUUUGUUUUGGUCACAACUCUCUUGUGUGUCUAAUGGAAAUUGGCUAGCCCAUGUGACCCAAAAUGCAUGUGUCACAUCUUGUAAUGAAGAUAGCUUCUUUUGAGUUUCUAAAGGGUUAAGCAAAUCACAAGAGAUGAAAUUGUAAUUAGGGCUUGAAAGGAUGUUUGGUUGUGUCUCUUGAUUAUUUCUAGCUAUACCAUAAACUUUCCAAGAAGAUUCUAAAACUAGUUUUUUAGCUAACUCUCUCCCAACAAGUCCGGUGACCCCAAAGAUUAUGGCAACAUUAUUUUUCUCCUUUGUAGCUUCCAUUUUCAUAAGGGGUGAUAUGAAUGCUAAUGAGUGUUGAACUAUUUAUAUAGGAGUGAAUAAAUGAAUGAAUAUGGUGCCUCAUUAUCUGUAUUUUGAAUUUGGUGUGUUACAAUAAUGUGAACUAUACAAUUUGACUAUUAAUGCACUUCUUUUGAGGAGUGUUUCUGGGCUGGCAUAUAGUUAUAUGUAGCAUGAAAC
rnacentral:lncRNA from 1 species